rnacentral:rRNA from 1 species
UUUGAUCCUGGCUCAGGACGAACGCUGGCGGCGUGCUUAACACAUGCAAGUCGAGCGAUGAAGUUUCUUCGGAAAUGGAUUAGCGGCGAACGGGUGAGUAACACGUGAGGAAUCUGCCCUUCACUUUGGAAUAACUCCGGGAAACCGGAGCUAAUACCGGAUACGAACUCUGGCGGCAUCGCCGGAGUUGGAAAGUUUUUCGGUGAAGGAUGACCUCGCGGCCUAUCAGCUUGUUGGUGAGGUAAUGGCUCACCAAGGCGACGACGGGUAGCCGGCCUGAGAGGGUGACCGGCCACACUGGGACUGAGACACGGCCCAGACUCCUACGGGAGGCAGCAGUGGGGAAUAUUGCACAAUGGGCGCAAGCCUGAUGCAGCAACGCCGCGUGGGGGAUGACGGCCUUCGGGUUGUAAACCUCUUUUAGCAGGGAAGAAGCGAAAGUGACGGUACCUGCAGAAAAAGCACCGGCUAACUACGUGCCAGCAGCCGCGGUAAUACGUAGGGUGCAAGCGUUGUCCGGAAUUAUUGGGCGUAAAGAGCUCGUAGGCGGUUGGUCGCGUCUGCUGUGAAAACCCGAGGCUCAACCUCGGGCCUGCAGUGGGUACGGGCCGGCUAGAGUGCGGUAGGGGAGAUCGGAAUUCCUGGUGUAGCGGUGGAAUGCGCAGAUAUCAGGAGGAACACCAAUGGCGAAGGCAGAUCUCUGGGCCGUAACUGACGCUGAGGAGCGAAAGCGUGGGGAGCGAACAGGAUUAGAUACCCUGGUAGUCCACGCCGUAAACGGUGGGAACUAGUUGUAGGGGCCAUUCCACGGCUUCUGUGACGAAGCUAACGCAUUAAGUUCCCCGCCUGGGGAGUACGGCCGCAAGGCUAAAACUCAAAGGAAUUGACGG